UUUGUUCUCUUGUAGGAGUGUUUUUUUGGGUGACGUAACCCUAUUAUAUUUUGUUCUUUUUGGGUGUUAUAUAACACAAAGAGUUCUUUUCUUUAUUUUGGAUCAGGUAAGUUCCCUGGGCCUGUGUUGGUGGCUGUUUGUUUUAUUGGUCUGUAUGUUGUUUUUGACUGUCAUAUUUGCUCUCUUGUAGGAGUGUUUUUUUGGGUGACGUAACCCUAUUAUAUUUUGUUCUUUUUGGGUGUUAUAUAACACAAAGAGUUCUUUUCUUUAUUUUGGAUCAGGAGUGUUUUUUUGGGUGACGUAACCCUAUUAUAUUUUGUUCUUUUUGGGUGUUAUAUAACACAAAGAGUUCUUUUCUUUAUUUUGGAUCAGAUCCUUUCCCUGAACGCCAAGUUUACUGGAAGUUCCCAUGAUGCGUAUGUCAUUAGACAAUCAGGGAUAUGGCACAGAUUAAGAUCAAGUCAACGAGCAGACAUGUGGUUAUUGGGAGACCGUGGAUAUCCUUGCACCCCCUGGCUCAUGACUCCUUACCGUAAUCCCAGGCCAGGACCACAGACGGCAUUUAACUCCGCGCUUACUGCCACUAGGCAGCUGGUGGAGCGCACAAUUGGGGUCCUUAAAGGGCGGUUUCGUGUGCUCCACCGCACUGGUGGCGACAUCAUGUAUUCGCCGGAGAUGGCAAGUAAAAUAGUGGUCCUGUGCGCUAUACUCCACAAUAUCGCGGUAAGGAGUAGCGUAGAGCUUCCUCAGACAGAGGAAUUGCCUGAUGAGGAGCCAGGGGUUGUCCGACACUUCGGUGGGGGGAGUGUUACAAGGAGGGGGAGCCAAGUCAGGGCAAGCAUUGUUGCUGAAUUUUUCAGCUGAAAGACCACACAAACUGAGGACGACCACAACGGCAAGCACCACAUGAUGCACCAGCUCAGCACCCUUCCCCUUCUCACUCCCCCUCCACUUCCCAGUCCCCCUCCCCUUCUCACUCCCCCUCCCCUUCUCACUCCCCCUCCCCUUCUCACUCCCCCUCAGCUUCCCAAUCCCCCUCAGCUUCCCAAUCCACCUCAGCUUCCCAAUCACCCUCAGCUUCCCAGGCCCCCUCAGCUUCCCAGGACCACUCCACUUUCCACUCCCCUUCUCAGCCAACCUCUCCUUCUCUUUGUGUGACCCCUUCUCCUCCUUCCCAUACCCCUUCUCCUUCUACUUCCAACUCACCUUCUCAGCCCCCCUCACCCUCUAUUGGCCUAACAUUUUCACCGCCCCCCUCACCCUCUCAAUCAGACCCACCCUCUGAAAUUACAUCCCCAAUCCAACCUCCUUCCCCCAUCCAGCCUCCUUCCCCCAUCAAGCCUCCUUCCCCCAUCCAGCCUCCUUCCCCCAUCCAGCCUCCUUCCCCAAUCCCUCCUCCUUCCCCCAUCCAGCCGCCUUCCCCACCGAGUGAAUGGGCAGAGGAAGCCCCUGAAGCCAGUUCAGGGAGUCUUCAUGUUGCCGAGGAAAAUGUUGCAGUUGGAGUUCCUCCAAGUUUGGGAGCCAUUCUUUCCACCAUGCGCCAACACCUGCAAGGAUUGAUACAUUGUGUUGAUCAAUUG